rnacentral:lncRNA from 1 species
UAAAAUCUUCUAAACCUUAUACGACAAAACUGCAACCUGCGACUAUUACUAGUUUCCAAACAUGAACUACUACUCCCCCGCCGCUCUCACCUCCGAUCAAGAACUCUCCGCCAUCGUUGCUGCUUUAACCAACGUAGUCUCCGGCUCCACCUCCACCGCGUAUUCCAUACCUGAAUUUUCCCCCACGGAUUCCACUGUCGGAAGCAGCAGCAGCAGCUUAGAACGAAUAGUGCCGGCAGUGAACAUAGUUUCUUGCCGGGAAUGCAACAUAGCAGGAUGUUUAGGAUGCAAUUUCUUCCCUGAAGAGAAAAAACAAAAACAAAAACAAAAAAGAGCUAAGAAGAAGUACAGAGGAGUGAGGCAGAGGCCAUGGGGAAAAUGGGCUGCUGAGAUUCGUGACCCUAGACGUGCGGUCCGUGUUUGGCUUGGAACCUUUACCACGGCGGAGGAAGCUGCCAGAGCUUACGACAAUGCUGCUAUUGAGUUCCGUGGGCCAAGGGCCAAGCUCAAUUUUCCAGUCGUUGAUGAAUCGCUUAAGAACGUGGUGGAUCCAGAAGUGGUUGUCCCUUUGGAGGAUAUAAAGGACGAGAAUAUGAAUCAAGAAAUACAAAUUGAGACAACUAUGGGAUUUGAGAGUAAUAAGAAUUGUGAUUUUUGGGAUAGUAUCGGAGAAGCUGAUUUUCAACAACUAAUGAGGUUUAUGGAUUUUGAUAGAGAUUCUUCUGACUCAAGAACAUGGAACACUUUUAGUUCUUGAAUUCAAUAACAAGUCAAGAGUUUUUUUUAGCUAGUGUGUUUAAUUAGUUAUUCAUUAAUGUGCAUAAUCUUUCUUCCACUAGCUGCCUUAUCACCUAUGAAGUGAUAAUUCAUGGUUUAGUUUUGAUAACUUGUUUGUCACACAAGGUAGUUAGAAGUUUGUUAAAGUUGUUGAGAUUUUAGCUAGUUAAUUUUUGUUUGUAUAUAAGUACAUUGAACUUUGUUCUUCAUCUAUGAGUUCCUUAACUCUACUCCUAAGAGUGUUGAGUACAGUGUUUUAGGGUUUUCAAGCUACUAUACUAAGAAGUGCAUAAAAUAAAGAUAGAGGCAAAAAGACACGGGGGAUACAAUACAAUGCUUAAAGUAACUUGUUUGAUUGAUUGUGUGUCGAAUAAAAUGUACAAGUUCAGUCUUUAUGGGCAAACACUAGUUAUAUUGGUCAAAACAACGUGGUCUGAAAAAAUUAACUUUGCUUGGCUAUUUAUACCAGUAAUAUAUGGGUAUAUUCACCCAUCAAGGGGUACAUGACACCCCAUAUUAAGAUUGCAGUCUUCUACUUUGCAAUGUCAUCCGUUGACAGAAUCCACAUGUGCUCAGUUUUCCACAAAAUGUGCAUUCAAGAUCAUCGCUUCCUUCUGUAAUGGCUCUAGAAACAUUGAGAAUGUGUUAAAUGCCUAAUUUUGCAGUGUUUGGCUAGUUGUGUUAGCGCUCGUUUAACCUACAAUCGUCUAAAGGAAAUUCGAUUGUCCUUAAAUUGCUUAUCUGCCGCUUAAGACUAAUAGAAUAUUUAUUUUUAGGUGUAAACAAAUUCUCUUUGCGUUACAAUAUUGAAAAUGAGAUGAUGCCUCAUAAACUGAAACUAUUGUGUGUUAAGACUAAAGGAAAUUCGUUUGUCCUUAAAUUGCUUAUAUGUCGAUUAAGACUAAUAGAAUAUUUAUUUUUAGGUGUAAACAAAUUCCCUUUGUGUUGCAUUAUUUAUCAAAUAUUGACAAUGAGACGAAGCAUCAAAAACUGAAACUAUUGUGUGUUAAGACUAAAGGAAAUUUAUUUGUGCUUAAAUUGCUUAUUUGUCGAUUAAGGCUAAUAGAAUAUUUAUUUUUAGGUGUAAACAAAUCACUGCAUCGAAAUCAUAAUCGUCCUGUAAAAAAAAAAAGUUAAGUCUGAGAAUGGUGGCACGUGACAACCAAGACAACGAUGCGCAACGGUCGACAAUGGAUAUCACGGCUGAUGUCAGACUGAAGAGGGUGGUUCGUGGAAGGGAUGAUGGUUGUGCCCAGUGAUUGCAAAAUAAGUAUUGAUUUUGUGAAAUGGGUUUCAAUCUAACUGUGAUAAAAAAAAUGGUUGAAACACGUGUCAAAAUAUGAGCCAUAAGAUUCAUCCAAUGGUGGAUAUUAACUCAAAGUUACAUAACUUUUCCCUAUGGUUCCACUUUGAAUUAUUUAGGAUGAAUAGUGUUUUAUCCUCUCUGUAAUAUAGGUCACUUUGAAUAUGGUUCCACUUUGAUUUUUUUUUUUAGAUUUCGUCCUUAUGGAAUAAAGAUUCUCUAGAAUACCCCCGAGCCAUCUGAGAAAAUAAAUAUUAUGGAAUUUAAUUUUCAAAAAAAAAAAAAAACCAAAAACAAAAUUAGAAAAACAAAUUCGAAAUUUGAAAUUCUGGCAGGCUAGCUUUCAGAUGUUUUAUACGAUGUUUCAACAUCAAAUACGAACAUAAUGUUGAGUAAGAUGUUUUAACAUUGAGUUAGCAGAAAACAGACAGAUCAAGACAAAUAUAACAGAUGUUGAAUUUUAGCGCGUUAGUUAGAAGUUGUUCUAUGUGAUGUUUCAAUUUCAGAUGCAUAGACAACAUAUGUUCCGUUUAAUGUUCCAACAUCGUGCUAGCAGUAAACAUAAACGAAACAAGAUAAAAGACAAGAAAGUAAAAGGCACAACAAUUUGUUAACCCAGUUCGGUGACAAACACACCUACUAUGGAGGCUACCAAGCCAGGAAGGAAAUCCACUAGUGUAGUCCGUAACACUCCUAUUUUUAUUAAAGCAAUUAAACAUGCGAAUAAUAAAUUUAUUCAAGAAAUAGAGGCUACGCCACAUCCAAAAAUUCAAAACCAAUAAACAUGUAUAUAAACUUCAACAGUCGCAGCGGAAUAUAAACCAGAGUAAUUUGAAUAUACAUGUCAUGAAUCAAUUAUUACAUCAACAUAAAUUAAUCUCCAAAUCUCAACAAUGGGUAAAUCUCCAACAUAACAAAUAAUCCAAAACAAAUGAUAAUCUAGACCGACACAACGAAGCCUAGAUCAGAGCCGACUAAACACCAAACACCGAUAUCAGAUAAAGCUCCCAAUAUCCACCAAGCACAAAAACUCACCGAGCAACUAACCCUGCACAACAUCUACCCAUCCAUACAGACAGGUAGGCAGUUAAAACCACUGUGGGUAGUAUUACAUCAUCAUAAUCCAAAUAACAGUUAACAUGAAUAUUUCAAUUUAAACAUCAUGCACUUGAUCAAUACAUAUACUUACAUCAAAACCCCAAUAUCUCACAUCAAUAAUCAACAAUCGCAUGUGCCAUGAGCAAAUAUCAAUUCACAAUUAUUCAUACACAAUCACCAAUCACAUACAUCAAUAAGACUCAUGUCAUGAUAUGCAUGUAUCGACACAUAUAUGCAUGUGGUACCAAAUCACCUUAAGGUCGUCACUCAUAUCCAGACCACCAAGGGUCUCUGCAAGGCCUGAAGCCCAAAAUCUAGAUCACUAAGGAUCUCUGCAAGACUGAAGUCCACAAACUAGAUCACAAAUGAUCUCUGCAAGGCCGGAGCCCAAAAACUAGAUCACAAAUGAUCUCGGCUAGGCCGGAGCCCGAUAAUGAAUAAAACAUCAUAUAAACUCUCAACACGACUAUGAUGCAUGGACAUGUACAAGGACUCGAUAAUGCGACAACAAUCCACAAUUUUCACCUCAAUAUAUAGGACAACACCCAAUUAUAUUGAUUAUCUCCAAAACAUUUGCAUUAUCAAGAAAACAUGUCCAUACACAAUCAAUUCAUAGUAUUCACCUUCAUACAUCAACAUGAUUAUCAAUAAUCAACAAUGUCAUUCAACAUCAACUAUCACAUAUAGCUUCACCAUUCAAGCAUUCCUUACAUUCUAAGUAAGAUAGCAUACACAUCUCAUGAUAAACAUCAUAUCCAAUACAAUCAUUCAUUCAUACAACUUCACUUAGUUAUAUAAAAAUGGUCACCACAAUUCUUAAUACAAUUGGUUCAAGAAAUAUUUCCGACCAAAAACCGUGUCAAGUGGCAAACGGCCAACAUUGACAAUUCCCAAGACCAAACGGCAUAGACAAGUUGAAAACCUUCAAACAAUCUUAAUCGACAAUGUAUUCAUGAAUUUAAGUCGCCUCCGGAUCAUUAGACAUUAAGCAAAGAACGACUUAAGUUCGCAUGAAAAAUCCAAUUUCACAACCUUUCACAUUCCUACCCGAAAUAUCAUUUUUUACAUGAUUAAGAUGUUUGACUACUCUUACAAGUUUUACCUAAGUCUAUAUGAGUUGUAGGUUCAACUUAUAAGUCCCAAUGUUUGCAAAAGUUUAUUUCCGACAAAAGUCUAAGUUCCAAAAUUCCCAAGUUAAGACUCAAAUGAAGAAUUUCAAGUUUAGGCAAGCUAAUCAUUGUUCCAGUAGGUUUUAGGGGAUUGACAGUAGUUAAACAUGUUUAGAGAAUCAUUUUACAAAGCUCGGAUUGGCCCCCAAAGACCCGGAACAAAAAUCAAAGUGACUAGAAACUGGACCUGUUCGCUUAAGCGACCACCUGGUUCGCUUAAGCGAACGGGUUACAGUAGCAAACCCACUUGCACGCUUUCCGGUCACUCACCAGUUCGCUUAAGCGAACGAGUUUUAGUAGCAACCAGAAAACUUCGCUUACUAGCACGCUAACUGGUCGCUUAAGCGACCCAGCCCAGAAAAUCAGUAUGAAUGUUCGCUUACCAGGUCGCUUAAGCGAACCUCUCAGUGAACGUUCACAGUUUUGCAGAAAAUGUUACGGGAUUGAACCCCUUUUCACCCAAAAUCCCCAAUUAGGUCUUGAAGUCUUGAAUAUAUACUGAAGCAAUAUGUAACACCCCGUUUCCCCAACGUGAAAAUUUCAUUUAUUUAAUCAGAGUAAUUCACCUAAACGGAAUGUCACAUUCUUUUCUUAAAAUCAUAAACUGUAUAAAUAACUAUUUAUCCUUUAAAAUUCAACAACUAAAAAGUCUUUAAUACUUCGCAGCGGAAAUUAUUCAAUAAUCAAAACAGUCUUUGGCACUAAAGCCUCUUUACAAUUAUGUCAUAAAAAUCCAUUCUAAAAACAUAGUCAUAACUCUUCAGAAACAAUACGUAAGGAUAGAAAGCAAUAACAAAGUUCCCAUCCCGUUACGUAUCAGAGCACCUAAAGACACUUGAGCCACCACUCCUACUAAUCAUGAAUACCUGCAAGUUACUCAUACGAAGAGCAACAUUUUCAAGCAGAAGGGGUGAGAUUUCACAAAACAAUAAUAUCAAGCAUAUAAUUCAAUAAUUAUAUUUAACAACACAAAUAACUUCAUCUAUUAGUAAUAAUAAUUCUUCAUGUAAUAAUUCUUAAUAACUCAACCAACUUCUAGUUAUCAUUUAACACAUAUUAACCAAAUCGUAACAAACAUAGAUCAUCACAUCAUAGUCAUAGUUCAUAUAUAGCAUAACAACAUCUUAAUCCUAAUUCAUAUACAACAUAACAACAUCAUUAAUUCAUAAUAAUAAUUAUUCAUCAAACAUCUCAUUAUCAAUUCAUUAAUAAAAGACAACUUAUCAAUUUAACAUAAACAUCAUCAAGUACACUUAACAACUCAUAGAUAUCAUCAUGUAAUCAUCAUCACUAAUAAUUUUAAAACAACACAAUAUAAUCAUCUCUUAUUAAUAGUAAUAAUUAUCUACAUCAUAACAUAAACAUCUUCUUAUAAUAAUAUAACAACAACGUAACAUGAUAUUCACUUAAUAAUAAUAAUAAUAAUUAUAUAUACAUCAUCUCGUCAUAAUAUAAUAAUAUAACAACAACAUAGCAUGAUAUUCACUUAAUAAUAAUAAUAAUUAUAUAUACAUCAUCUCUUCAUAAUAUAAUAAUAUAACAACAACAUAUUCAUCUUCUUGUAUUAAUAUAACAACAACGUAUUCAUCAUCUUAUGAAAAUAUAAUCAACACAUACUAACACCAAAAUCAACAUCAUAAAUCUUCAACAUAAACAUCUUAAACAAUAUCAUCUUAAACAUCAUAGCAUCUUUGAUAAACAAUUACCAAGUAAUCACAACAUUCGAUCAUCAUCAAUAACAUAACAUAAUAUUCACUUAAUAAUAUUAAUCAUAUAUAGAACAACAUAUUCGUCACUUAAUAGUAACAAUUAUACACAACAUCAUAACAACUUAACAAAAUCAUAAUCAUUAUCUUAGACAACAUAGCAACGUAACAAUAUCAUAAUCAAUAUCUUAAACAACGUAGCAACAUAACAAUAUCAUAAUCAACAUGUUAAACAACAUAGCAACAUAACAAUAUCAUAAUCAAUAUCUUAAACAACGUAGCAACAUAACAAUAUCAUAAUCAACAUGUUAAACAACAUAGCAACAUAACAAUAUCAUAAUCAAUAUCUUAAACAACGUAGCAACAUAACAAUAUCAUAAUCAACAUGUUAAACAACAUAGCAAUAUUUUAGUCAACAUCAUAUAAUUCACAUCGUAUAAUCUUCGUAGGUACUUCUUUAACAACACAUGGGUAGAACACAACUCGACAAACUCAUGGAUGAUAAUUCAUCGACAACUUAACAACUCAUGGAUGAUAAUUCAUCAACAACGACCUUGACUCGACAUAUGCGACAAUGCAACUUAGACACUUAUAUGCAUGUGGUACCAAUCGUCAUCAUAAGUAUUAAUAUACUUUUAUCGUGCGGAGGACAAAGCUCCUAAAACGUGCGGAGGACAAAGCUCCUAAUCGUGGUGAGGACAAAGCUCAAUGAAAUGCUAUGCAUGGACUCUUAACAACAAAACACCGUAAUCAUCGUAAUCAACAUAUCAUCAUGCAUCCAAUAAUUUGGAGCUAAACGUCAUCAUUUCAUAAUAUAUAUAUAGACAUCAUGCACUUAGUUAAAUAACAGCAGUAGCACAGUCAAAUCACACAACAAUAGAGAGAUAUCAAUAUAUCAAUUGCAAUUCACAGCAUAACAAUAUUAAUGUGAAGCAUCAACAACUUAAACAUCAAACAUCUUCCACAUAAGACAUAAAUAUUUCACAUAACCAACAACAGCAACAUAGGAGACACAUAAACAUCUCAGGAUAUAACAAUAUCAAAUGAUAAUCAACAACAACUCAUGUAACUUAGUUAAAUAACAAUAGCAGCAUAAUCAGAUUAUAUCAACAGCUUGAUACCAAUUCAUUUCAACAACUCCCUGAUCAUUCAAUAAUAAUUCAAGUAAUGCAAUCAAUCAAUAAAUCACAUAAUAAACACUUAGCAUUUCAAUAUAGCUUCACAAUUCACAAUCAUUAUCUUUAAUAGGUCACACUAUGUACCUAAAGUUCAUUUCUAACCAAUCCAAGCAACUCAAGUCUCACAAUGCACUAAAAACACUCAAUUCUGGAAGUGCUCGCGAGGCGAGAGCAUCUGCUCGCCGUGGCGAGUACAAGCCAACUUUCCAACUAAGGUUGUUCUAGGUUCAAUCUCGUUCUAAAUCAUUCUCUAAUCAAUAGUAGGCACCUAAAGGUACUCAAAGGCAUCUAAGGUUCAACUCAAAAGGUCGAAACACAAAAUCUAACAUGCUCUCUGCCUUAGCUCGCUAUGGCGAGUAAGGUUGCUCGCAAUGGCGAGCAAUACCAAAACACUCGCGAGGCGAAGGGGAAGGCUCGCGUGGCGAGCGAUGAAGAUCAUCACUCGCGAGGCGAGGAUCAUAGCUCGCCGUGGCGAGCGAUGAAUCUAGGCUCGGACAUGAUGCACUUUCUACACGAAAAUCAUCAUCUAACAAGGUUCUAAGCCUAAUUUCAAUUCCAGAAUUCAUCUAAAUCAUUAUCUAAGGUCUAAGGACAGUUUCUACAUCUUUUUAACAAGUUUCCACCGUUUAAUCAUCAAUUUUAUCAAUUUGACCUAAUUUCCGAUUCUUCUUAAACUCAUCCUAAUUCAUGUUAAACUUAACCAUUGAUUCACAUACUUAAUAGAAUUGCAAAGUUAGUCUCACCCUUACCUUAUAAUUAGGAAAUCGCAGCCCCUCUAGGUCUCUCCCUCUUAUCUUGGCUUUUCUCCCUUUUCUCCAAAAGCAGUCGUACGUACGUUAUGUUUUUCUAAACUAGGUCUCUCCUAUUUAUAUAAAUCUUUAACCUACUUAUUUUUCUCUUAAAUCCAAAUAUUAAUAUUCUAUCGCAAUAUAUAUAUAUAUAUAAAAUGUUUCUAUAACAAUAAUAAAUAACAAUUAUAUCUCUAUAACAUAUAUAUAUAUAUAUAUAUAUAUAUAUAUAUAUAUAUAUAUUUCCAUAACAAAUCAUACAUAUUUCAAUAACAGAUUAUAUAUAUUUCUACAACAAAUCAUACAUAUUUCUACAAUAAAUAACAUUUAUUUCUGCAACAAAUCGUGUAUAUAUUUCUAUAACAAAUGACAUAUAUACAUUCCUAAAUCAAAUAACAUAUAUUAUAUUUUUAAAUCAAAUAGCAUAUAUAUAUAUAUAUAUAUUUCUAAAUCAAAUAACAUAUAUAUUUCUAAAUCAAAUAGCAUAUAUAUAUAUUUCUAAAUCAAAUAACAUAUAUAUUAUAUUAAUAAAUAUAUAACAUAUAUCAUAACAAAAUAUCACUCAUCAAAAUAAAUCAUAUAAAUCACACAAAUCAUAUAAGUAUAUUCUAAACUCUUUUAAAAUAAUCAAAUAAUUAGAGAGGGCGUUACACAAUACAUGUCAAAUAAACGGUUUGGGCUUCAGAACAAAUCAAAUCGUCCAGCUGAUCUGCAACACACGAAUCAGUACCGAAAAGGAAAGUCCUAAAAAGUAGGAACAUCUUUAAGAACUUCCAAACAUAUCCAAAUAAUUCCUAAAAUAUUACCAAUCUUUUAGGAAUAAUAAAACAAGUGAUUUUGUAUAUAUAUGCGUGUUUGCUUGGUCAGUAAGAUAAAGAAAUAUGGUUUCCUUAAAUAAUACAAGGCACGCGUAAAUGUAGGCAUGAACCCAGACAGACUGAACCGUGCUAGGAUGUUGGAACAUCUUAUCCAACAUCAUACAUGAGUAUUUGUUUUAGCAACAAUUAAGCCAAUACUCAAACACCCAGCAAUCUCCCCCUUUGGAUUUAUUUGUUGUUAAAACAAACUGAGGUCAUACAGACGAGGUAGAGAGAUACCACACAUACAUUUCUUCAAUCCACAACCAUGAAGAAAAGUAGCACAACUGCAAAACGGACAUGUUGAGACAUCAUCCAACACAUCAUUCAAAACAUGUUGGAACAUAAUAUCCAACAUCACAAACAUAUAUAUUUGUUUUAGCAAUAAUGCAGCCAAUACAAAUACCCAACAAUCUCCCCAUUUGGCAAAUUUUUGGCUAAAAUAAAUUAAGGUCAAAUACAAAGAGUACAGAGGGAUACAUAAGACAACCAUUUCUCCAAGUAGCAUGAACACAUACCUAUGAAGAAACAACUAGCACAUCAAAUCUAAAGGGAUAUCUUAGAUACACUUCCUCAAGUCAUCACGAACACAUAUUCAAGAAGAAUGAGUAGCAUGACAGUAUCACUAAAGCAAUAUCAGAAGUGUGCAUACAAGAAUACCUCACAUAAUCUUCAAUCAAAGCUUCAUGUUGGAUGUUCCAACAUCCUUCAUAACAUCAGACAGGAGUACCUGUCACACAUAUCAACAAGGGAAAAAAUAAAUUUCUCAUACCUAUAGAAAGCUGACAGUUUGAUGUUAGGCUCAUCAUUCUCCACAUCUGUCAGACAACUUGAACUAGAGCAAGCACACAUAAUAGUAUCACUCCCCCUCAAAGUAAGAACCUAUGAGUGAAUACUAAUCAUAUUCCAUUACUCCCCUUGAAUACAUGCAUUUUAAAGAUACAAGCAAAUAUCUUAUUAGGUCACAAAGACAUGUUCCAACAUUCUAUAGAGCAUCAGCAGGGAACAUGUACAUCAAUAUUCUGAGAAAAAUAAAUUCUCAGAGUGCAACAUCAGUGCCAACAUCUACACAUAACUUGAAGUAGUUGCAAAAUGAAUGCAACAACAGAAAAUACAGGCAUAACAGACAAACAUAUAGCUGCAAAAUAAAUGCAGACAGAAUACAUGCAGAAUAGAAUAGCACAUAUCCAUGCAUAUAUAGAGAGUAUAUAUAUACCAUUUUCUUCCCCUUUUUAGCAACAAAAUAUGCCAACAGAAAACCUUCAUGAGUAUAUACCACAACAGUACAAGACAUGCUACGGAAAAACUCCAACAAUCUAUCUCCAGAAGAUAUCAGACCUGCAAUAGGAGCACUUCCAGAUGUUCCAACAAUGUCUUGAACAUGAUCCACACCAAGCAACCUUCUUUCAUUUAAACACAAGAACUCAUCUCAUUCCUUGUUCAUAAGCCAGAAAGUAUCUACUCUGGAUCUCACCCAGUAGCAGGCAGGAUGCCUGCUCUAAUACCAAUUGAAAUUCUGGCAGGCUAGCUUUCAGAUGUUUUAUACGAUGUUUCAACAUCAGAUACGAACAUAAUGUCCAGUAAGAUGUUUUAAGAUCGAGCUAGCAGAAAACAGACAGAUCAAGACAAAUAUAACAGAUGUUGAAUUUUAGCGCGUUAGUUAGAAGCUUUUCUAUGUGAUGUUUCAAUUUCAGAUGCACAGAGAUGUUGCGUUUAAUGUUCCAACAUCGUGCUAGCAGUAAACGUAAACGAAACAAAAUAAAAGACAAGAAAGUAAAAGGCACAACAAGUUUGUUAACACAGUUCGGUGACAAAAACACCUACUAUGGAGGCUACCAAGCUAGGAAGGAAAUCCACUAGUGUAGUCCUUAUUUUAUAGCUCUCAGUAAAUUCCUCGUUUACACUAAAGACCUAGGACCUACCCGUAUUAAUUUCAACCUAGGAACUUCUAGAUCUGAGAUCUCAUCUCACUAUCCUAUGGUCAGUCACAACCCGUGUGACCUAUCAAACCUAAACACAAACAAACGGUGAAGUUACCUUCAAACAAACUACCUAACACUGUGCUUCGCAACUUUGGUAUCAAGAUGAUACAAGAAAGGCUCACAAUAAAACAGAGCUAAACUUGCAUCAACACAAUACAAGAGGAGAACACACAAAGACUCAAAACCUUAAAAACUAAACCUUUUUAGUUUGACGGCUUGAAUGAAUAAUUAGGUCUUGAAGUCUUGAAUAUAUACUGAAGCAAUAUAGGUCAAAUAAACGGUUUGGGCUUCAGAACAAAUCAGAUCGCCCAGCUGAUCUGCAACACACGAAUCAGCACCAAAAAGGAAAGUCCUAAAAAGUAAGAACAUCUUUUGGAACUUCCAAACAGAUCCAAAUAAUUCCUAAAAAUAUUAUCAAUCUUUUAGGAAUAAUAAAACAAGUUAUUAUGUACAGAUAUGCGCGUUUGCUUGGUCAGUAAGAUAAGGAAAUAUGGUUUCCUUAAAUAAUACAAGGCGCGCAUACAAGUAGGCAUGAACCCAGACACACUUGAACCGCGCCAGGAUGUUAGAACAUCGUAUCCAACAUCAUACAUGAGUAUUUGUUUUAGCAACAAUGAAGCCAAUACUCAAAUACCCAACAAAAUUAAAAAAAAAUAAUAAUCAGAAUUUUUUUGGAAAAUAUUUUUCUUUGGAAAAUAAGGUAAAAUUUUAUUUUUCUACAAAAAAUAAAAUAAUUUUUUUUUGUAAUAAAAUAUAUUUUUCAAAAAAUAGGAAAAUCAGUUUUUAUUUUCAAAAAAUAUUAUCUAAUUUUUUUUAUACUGGAAAAAAUAAAAUCUUUUCUUUUGAAGUUUAUUUUAGAAUUUUCCAAAAAAAUCCGAACUUUUUUUAAUUUCGAAUAUGUUUUUCUAAUUUUCAUUUUAUUUUUAAUUUUGAAAAUUAAGUUCCAAAAUUUUGUAUUUUUUAGAAAAAAAUCUGAUUUUUCUUAAAUUUUCAAUUUUUCAAACUGUUUUUUAUUUUUUUUUGUGUAUUUUCCUUUUUUUAAUGAAAUCUUAUGCGAUAAAUGAAUUUCACACGUGACCAAUGAAAAAAAAUAAUCAUGUCAACAUCAUGUAAGCGUAUUUGAUAAGUCCUAAAGUAUUUUUAAAAAGAGAAAUGCUUAAUAUUGCGACAAAAUCCAUCAGGAAUAUUUCACGAAACAUUGUAAACUUUUAAUUUUGCUUGCUAAUAGCGCUGUAAACUUUUUUUAGAGGAUGUGCCUUGUAAACUUAGGUGCCAUUUAGCUUGGACCCAUGAAGUUUUGGUCUAAGAUGGACCAAUUUUUUUUAACCUUUAGAUUGAAUCAACAACCAAUUAUUAUCAUGGUCCAUCCACAUCAAAUACAAUUCAUCAAUAUAUAAUAAAAUGUAAAUAACAUAAAAGAACAUUUGUAAUUCAUAAUAAAAUGUAUAUCAAUUAAUAUUUAAGAUAUUUAAUAAUUUAAAUUAAUCAAUUUAAUAUAUAUUUUACAUAUUAAUAAAUUAAUUUUUUAAUUUUUUGGUCAAAAUACUUAAUUAAUUUAUUUUGAUUAAAUUAUAUUUUUAAUUUAAUUCGUUUCAAUUUUUAUAUUUCAUUUCAAUUAAAUAAAUUAUUUUCAGUUUUUUUAUAAUAUUUCAGUUUUAAGAUUUAUUUUACGUGUAUCAGAUUUUUUUCAUUAAUAUUUAAGUAUACAAUUUUAUUCUAAAAACAAAACAAAAAAUAAGAAACCCAUAAGAUUAAAAACAAAAAUAUUAAAGAAAGAACAACAACAACAAGAACAACAACAAUUCAAAAAGAAGUUAUUUAAUAACAUAAGCAACAACAACUAGAUUUUUUUUCGUAAAAAAAAAAAAACCAAUUGAAUACUUAUUUAAUUCAUGUUACUUAUUUUUUUAAGAAAUUUAAUUCAUAUCCCUUCAAAACAAAAUAAACUAAUUCAUAUAUUACUUAAAAACUCGAUUAAUACAAAGUGCCGUAAGAAAAAUACUACUUGUAUUGCUAAAUAAAAAAGAAAUAUGUGACAAAAAAAAAGUAGAGAGAUUAAAUGAGAGUUAUAGAGAAGAUGGGUGAGAUUUGAUGUUUAUAGACCAUGAUAAAAUUUGAUGGAUUCAUAUGAUCUAAUGGUACAAAAAAUUGGUCCAUCAUGAACCAAUAUUUUUAUAGGUUCAUUUUAUACUUCACCGUAAACUUAUAUGUUGAAGCACGGACUUCCGUUUUGUUAAUCUAAAUUCUCUAUGUUAUCACCUGCAAAGAAUACAUAAUAUUUCAAAGCUUUUGAAGCCACGUAAGGCAUAGAGAUACAUAUUUCACCGGUGCAUGUGUUGUUUUUUUUCUUAGUAGCUAUAUAAAGAAAAAUUGAUCAAAAAAGUAAUUAUGUAGAAGAAAGAAAUAUAUACAAAACAACAUUUGGGAAAAUUUUACGUGAAAUUCCAUCGUGAUGUAUAGCAUGCCUCUUUGAAAAAUCCCUAUUUUACAAAGAUAAAAUCUAAAACAGAAUUUACCAAAGAAAAACCGAAAAUAGUUCAUAUUUCGGAAGUAAAUUACUAUUAACUCAAUUAUUUAUGAAGACAUUUCACCAAAAAUUUUGUGGGUUAUGAUAAUUGAAUCACACAUAUAUCUAUCGCUUAAAGAGUCCAAAUUUCUAAUAAAAGCAAUGUUAAGGAGAGACACUUUUACACUCUCUAUUAGACACUCUCUCACAUAUUGGACCACGUGGCACACAAUACAUUUUUCUUAAAUUUCAGUUACCUGUUCACCGACUCUACUUAUAUUUUUAUUUUAUUUUAUUAAGUGCAUAUCAAAGUCUAGAACACCGCCGUAAUGUUUGAAAUCUCAGACACCAUGCUCAGCUAUGAAAUAGCUGAUAAUAUAUGACUCUUCAAAAACACCAUACCCAAAAAAAAAAACACCAGAAAUUAAGAAGGAUGAGAGUGUUGUGAUUGUGACGAAGAUCCAAUAUCUCCAAAUCUUGUUCGUGUGACACUCCAGCAAAAUGAAAUUCCAUACCCAACCUUCAACUUUCAGCACCCAAAUCAACUAGUUAACAAAAACUAAAAAUCAAAUCUUUUUUCAAAAUUCAUAAAGGGCCAAGACAACAUAAAUUUUAUGAUAAAAAACUAUGUAGUAAAGAUUCACUUCUUCAUGCCUCCAAUAAAUUGAAAUAAUUUUCAACAAUUUUUUGUGAAACAAAACAAAAAUCAUCAACACACCGUGAAAAGAAAAAACAAAAUAAGAAAUGGCUUGAUUCUUUCUUGUGUUGUUAUAGAUCUACUUCGUCCAUUUCGUUUACAUCAACAAUGAAGAUUUUUCGUUGGGAUUUUUUUAAAAAUCUGCCUACUACAGAAAAUUGGGAGGAACAAUUUUCGAGAUUAUUAUUUAUUAAAAUGAAAAUGUUAAUUAUCUCAGGAACCUAUUCAACCAAUUACCCAUGUGUGAGAGAGAGUUGUUGGCCACGUGGUCCAAUAUGUGAGAGAGUGCAAAAAUGACUUGAGAGUAGCAAGAACAAGAAGACAAGAAGAUCCCACCAACGAAUGAUCACCUGAAGGGAAAUGGUCAAAUCAGAAGUGAAAUAUCAAAACACACUCUUUACACUGUCACUGAUAGUGAGAGUGAACUCUAAAUCUAAUUUCAUUUUCGUUCCCCACCUCUUAUGUGGCGCUUUCUCCUUAACCCUCAUAUUUGCACCCUCAAAUCUAUAUAUGAAGUUGACAGACAUUUCUCACUCUCUACUAUGACCCACCACAAGACACAAAAUGCACACAUCCAAAUCCUAUGUGGCCACUAAUACAUAAUAAAUCCAAGUUUUUACCCUUUCAAAGAUCAAAAGUGAACCGUGUGGGAUCGGUGUGCACAGCUGGCUCUUUUUUUUGCCAUGUCAGUUCCAAAUCGUAUAUAAACCAUUUCCACCCUCUGACUUUCCAAAAACAUCAAAUCUUCUAAACCUUAAACAUUCCAAACUCCAACACAAACAACCUGCCACUUCCCAAACAUGAACAUGAACUACUCCUCUUCUUCCUUCUCCGCCACUACACUCACCUCCGAUCAAGAACUCUCUGUCAUCGUCUCUGCCUUAACCAAUGUCGUCUCCGGCUCCACCUCCACCGAAUUUCACCUCCCAAAUCCCGCCAUCGGAAGCAGCAGCAGCAGCAGCUUAGAAAGAAUUGUUCCACCUGCGAAC